rnacentral:lncRNA from 1 species
GAUCCAAUUGCAAUGGUACCAACCUAAGGACCAUAUGUACUAUUGGACAACCUAAGGCAGGCACGGUCCCUAAGCCACAUGCUAGUUGUUUAAACAGAGAGGGAGAGAUGUUGAGAGCCACAGCCGAAGGGGCCCCAGCAAACUUCCAGCUGCCAGCAAACUUCCAGCUGCCUGCUGAUGAUUGGCUCACAGCGGCCCCAGCAACAUCUAGCUGAUUGGCUCCUCUGCGGUGAUGCUCAUUGGGCUGUUUCCCUGCCCUUUCAGACCACGGAGCUGCUCAUUGGGGGACUUUUUUGGCUCCGCCCACGUGACCAAGCCAAUCGGCCUCAAGAGCAGGAGGAUUGUGGGAGGUGGAGAGAAGCUUGUGUGGGAGAGAGAGGCUUGUGGAAAGCCGGUGGUGGCAGUUGAGGCUCUGAGGGUUUUUCCUGAGAGGCUGUUUUGUAAGGCGUGUGUGGUUCUAAAAAUAAAG